rnacentral:lncRNA from 1 species
CUGAUGUAAUUAAUCAUGAUUAAUUAUUUGAGCUGUUUGGUUAUUAGUUGCAUAUUUUGUGUCUGUCCUGCACAGGACACUGGAUGUGGACAGACAACAGUGUUCUGGAUUACGUUAACUGGAGUAAAUCUGAAGAGGAACCUCCAGAACGUCACUCUGUAUAUAGAUUUAGCCCAGAAAACACAAAAAACUGUGCAGUGAUUUCCUCCAGCACUGCAGAGUGGGAAAGGCGUGACUGUAAACGGGGUUUUCACGCUUAUGUCUGCAAAACAGCCAAAGUUGUAAUGCCGACAACAGAGCCGACAACUACAGUUUUUACAGGUACUGUUGGAACUCGCAGGUCGUUCAGUGGUGCAUCAGUGGUCGUACUGAUUUUAGUGAUGUUCGUUUUGGCUGGAUUGGUUUAUGGCUUCAUCAGAACCUCCAGAAAACAGGCUUCCAUGUCUGAGAACUCAAUGCAGAGCACUAGAGCAGGUUUUGUUGUAGAGGAUGAGGACACCAUGGGACUGUUUAGUCAAACAGAUGAUAACGAGGAAGACCCUACUUUGUAAUUUGCGAAUAUUUGGAAUUAUAUUGUGUCUUUACAUGUUUUCACGAUUCUGCUUCAUGAUCUAAUCCUUACAUUUAAGUGUUAAAAAUGAUCUGCUCGGCUUCAGUUGAUUAUUUUCCACAUAAUGGAUCAGGUUUGAAUGAACAAAAUGAUUUGAAGUUCAUCAGUGAUUUUGCUAAAUAAAAUGGAAUUUAAAUACUGUUUAAAGUGGGCA